CAUUCUGAUCAACACAUCAUUCUGAAGGAUUUUAAAUGUUUAGAAUUAGUGUUUGA
rnacentral:snoRNA from 1 species